GGUCAGAUGGGUCAGAUCCCUUUGCUGGAGGCAAAGGGAUCUGACCCGGGUUCUGCUCCAGGUUCUGGCCG
rnacentral:tRNA from 1 species